rnacentral:rRNA from 1 species
UGAAGAAAGCUUGCUUUCUUCAGGCGGCGACCGGCGCACGGGUGAGUAACGCGUAUCGAACCUGCCUCAUACUCAGGAAUAGCCUUGCGAAAGUAAGAUUAAUGCCCGAUGUUAUUAGGAUAUCACAUGAUGUUUUAAUUAAAGAUUUAUCGGUAUGAGAUGGCGAUGCGUCCCAUUAGCUUGUUGGCGGGGUAACGGCCCACCAAGGCAUCGAUGGGUAGGGGUUCUGAGAGGAAGGUCCCCCACAUUGGAACUGAGACACGGUCCAAACUCC